GUAGGAAAUAUUGGGCAAUGGAGGCAACUCUGACCCAGCCAUGCCGCGUGCAGGAUGACGGCCCUCUGGGUUGUAAACUGCUUUUAUACGGGAAGAAAAAAUACUACGUGUAGUAUACUGACGGUACCGUAAGAAUAAGGAUCGGCUAACUCCGUGCCAGCAGCCGCGGUAAUACGGAGGAUCCAAGCGUUGUCCGGAUUUAUUGGGUUUAAAGGGUGCGUAGGCGGAUCUUUAAGUCAGUGGUGAAAGCCUGCAGCUUAACUGUAGAAUUGCCAUUGAAACUGAAGAUCUUGAAUGUGGUUAAAGUAGGCGGAAUGUAUCAUGUAGCGGUGAAAUGCUUAGAUAUGAUACAGAACACCGAUAGCGAAGGCAGCUUGCUGAACCAUUAUUGACGCUGAGGCACGAAAGCGUGGGGAGCGAACAGGAUUAGAUACCCCUGUAGUCC
rnacentral:rRNA from 1 species